GCCGAUAACAAAAUCACCCAGAGUGCUCUCGAUCUCAUCAGAUUAAGGAAGCUAAGCAGUUUGGAGCCUGGAAAGUGCUUGGAAGGGUGUUCACCAUGCACAAAAGAUGUAUAAAAAGGCAUUGUGGGCA
rnacentral:rRNA from 1 species